GCCAACCCUUUAACAUAGAUCAAUUUGCUAGUGUUGGAGCUUGUUACGCCAUUCUCCUAUUUUGAGCCAUUCACCCCACCAUUUCUAAGGUAACAUACUUUUGAAAAAAAGGGGUAAACAUGAGUGACAGAAAUGAAACCAAUCCGAAACUUGAAUUGAGGUUGAACCUAUCCCCACCAAGGGUUGUUGAUCGUAGACUUGAGUCCCCAAAUCUAUCAGCAAUAAUAUCACCACCAUCACCACCGAGCUCAUGUGCAUCCACUGAUGUCAAACAAGAGAAGGAGGAUGACAACAACAACCUUGGAUACUCUAAUAGCCCUGAAGUUGUUCCCCUUGUGCUAGUAGGGUGCCAUCAUUGCCUUAUGUAUAUAAUGGUUGCUAAGGAUAACCUCAUGUGCCCUAAAUGUAAAAGCACUGCUUUAAUUGAAUUUCUCCAUGACAACAACAACAACCCUGUCAUAAGGAAGAAAGAGGACUAGGCUAUCAUGUUGUCAAUUCUGUUGCAAGUAGGACAUGUAUAGGAUCUUUAUUUUAUGUUAUCUUUUUUCUUUUGUAAUCCUUUCUAUGUGCGGUGCUUUUUGCACUUCACUUUUUAGGAAAAGUUAAUAAAGUUGCCUACUUGCUAGAGAGGUUAUGCUUUAUAAA